AUGCGUGGUGGUCGUGCUCGUCGUCAACCUGAUCAGUUCACCAAGGAGCAUUACUUUCGAGUGGAAAUUUUCUUCUCAACACUGGACACUCAACUAUUUGAAUUAAGCCGAAGAUUCAAUGAUAAGGUAAUGGAUCUUCUAACCAUUAGCGCCACCUUGAUUCCUACAAACAAAUUCAGAGGAUUCAAAGCUAGUGAUAUAUGUGAGAUGGUGAAAAAGUACUACCCAGCUGAUUUUCCCCAAGAUAUUUAUGGAUUACAACAGCAACUUAAGCACUUUGUUUCAGAUGCUUCCAAGGAUGAUGAUUUGAAAAACAUAUCUACCUUAAUUGAUCUAUGUCGAUGCCUUGUGGAGACAGGAAGACAUACCGUCUACAAUUUGAUUGACAGAUUACUUCGGUUGCUCGUUACCCUUCCAGUUUCUACAGCCAGUGCUGAACGCGCAUUUUCUAGUAUGAAGAUCAUUAAGACAAGAUUGCGCAAUAAGAUGGAAGAUGAGAAUCUGGCUAAUAACUUGUUAGUACACAUAGAGGGUGGAAUUCUGGAGAACUACAGUCAUGAAGAUGCCAUUGCAGAUUUUAUAAGCACGAAGGAUCGGAGAGUUGAUUUCUAG
rnacentral:rRNA from 1 species